CCCUUAGAUGUUCUGGGCUGCACGCGCGCUACACUGAAGCGUUCAACGAGUAUUCACCUUGCCCGGGAGGGUUGGGUAAUCUUUUGAAAACGCUUCGUGAUGGGGAUAGAUUAUUGCAAUUAUUAAUCUUCAACGAGGAAUUCCUAGUAAGCGCAAGUCAACAGCUUGCGUUGAUUACGUCCCUGCCCUUUGUACACACCGCCCGUCGCUACUACUGAUUGGAUGUUUAAGCGAGGUUCUCGAACUGCUAGCGACUUAGCUUCGGUGAGGUCGCAGUGUGGGAAGUGAACCUAGCUUUGGUGUCUAGAGGAAGUAAAAGUCGUAACA
rnacentral:rRNA from 1 species